GACCCUCGCGCCCAAAAGCCCUCGGACUAGUAGGAAAGUUGGAACCUUCACUCUUCCUCGCUGCCGCCGAGGCCGCCACUGCCGCUGCCGAGGCCGGCUCUACCAUAGAGACGCAGGAGACCAGCAGCGGGAGCAACGCGAGGAAUGCUGGGAUACUGGAGGUCCACCCAGCGCUUCCUGCGGGUUUAGCAAUACCGAGAGUUAGAAAGGCUGAUAUCUGGAGGAAGGAUUGAUUUCAAAGGCACUUUCACUUUGACUUCAGGAGGCCAUGAAGAACUGAGGAGGCCGAUCCAUUCAACCUACACCUCAAGUCUCUGUAUCAUCCUUUCAAGGUCUUGAAGAAAAGUGGCCUGUUGUAACUGUGAAGGCAGACUGGACACUUGCAGCUAGUUCUAAACACUACUGUGGUCUAUGUUUUUUUAAGUUAUUUUUUAUUUAUUAUUUUUAUUGUUUAUUAUUUUUAUUAUUUUUAUUAUUCCGUUUCUCUGUUUUUAUGUUUGACUAUUUUAGA